CGUAAUAGCUCACUGGUCGAGUGAUUCUGCGCCGAAAAUUUAACGGGGCUAAACUAUACACCGAAGCUUAGGAUACCGCAAGGUAUGGUAGGAGAGCGUUCUGUACGGAGUGAAGUCGUAGCGAAAGCGGCGGUGGACUGUACAGAAGUGAGAAUGCCGGAAUAAGUAGCGAGAAUUAAGUGAGAAUCUUAAUGGCCGAAAGUCUAAGGUUUUUGGAGGAAGGUUCGUCCGCUCCAAGUAAGUCGGGAGCUAAGGUCAGGCCGAAAGGCGUAGCCGAUGCACAAACGGUUGAUAUUCCGUUACCGUCUACAAUUUAAACAAAGGGACACAUACAAAGCGUUUAACCCGGGCGAUGGUUGACCCGGGCGCAAGGGACUGAAAUAAGAGUAGGGAAGUAAAUGUGGCGUAUGGCGAGAAAAGCUUUGUGAAUAGAAGUAGACGCCCGUACCGCAAACCGACACAGGUGGACAGGAAGAGAAUUCUAAGGCCAGCGGGAGAAGGGUAGUUAAGGAACUCGGCAAAUUGACUCCGUAACUUCGGAAUAAGGAGUGCUCGAAAGAGCCGCAGAGAAUAGGCCCAGGCGACUGUUUAGCAAAAACACAGGUCUCUGCCAAAUCGAAAGAUGAAGUAUAGGGGCUGACACCUGCCCGGUGCCGGAAGGUUAAGAGGAGGAGUGCAAGCUCCGAAUUGAAGCCCCGGUAAACGGCGGCCGUAACUAUAACGGUCCUAAGGUAGCGAAAUUCCUUGUCGGGUAAGUUCCGACCCGCACGAAUGGUGUAACGAUCUGGGCACUGUCUCAACUACCCACCCGGCGAAAUUGUAGUACCGGUGAAGAUGCCGGUUACCUGCGGCAAGACGGAAAGACCCCAUGGAGCUUUACUGUAGCCUGAUAUUGGGUUUCGGAAAUCUAUGUACAGGAUAGGCGGGAGACUGGGAAGUAUGAGCGUCAGCUUAUACGGAGUCGUUGUUGGGAUACCGCCCUUAGGUUUCUGGAAUUCUAACCUGCGACCGUGAAUCCGGUCGGGGGACAUUGUCAGGUGGGCAGUUUGACUGGGGCGGUCGCCUCCGAAAAGGUAACGGAGGCGCUCAAAGGUUGGCUCAGCACGGACGGAAACCGUGCCUCUGAGUGUAAACGCACAAGCCAGCCUAACUGCGAGGAUGACGGUCCGAGCAGUAACGAAAGUUGGAGUUAGUGAUCCGGCGGUAUGUGAAUGGAAAUGCCGUCGCUCAACGGAUAAAAGCUACCCUGGGGAUAACAGGCUGAUCUCCCCCAAGAGUCCACAUCGACGGGGAGGUUUGGCACCUCGAUGUCGGCUCAUCACAUCCUGGGGCUGUAUUCGGUCCCAAGGGUUCGGCUGUUCGCCGAUUAAAGUGGUACGCGAGCUGGGUUCAGAACGUCGCGAGACAGUUCGGUCCCUAUCUGUCGUGGGCGCAGGAUAUUUGAGGAGCUCUGUCCUUAGUACGAGAGGACCGGGAUGGACGUACCUCUGGUGCACCAGUUGUCAUGCCAAUGGCACGGCUGGGCAGCUACGUACGGAACGGAUAAACGCUGAAAGCAUCUAAGCGUGAAGCCGACUCCAAGAUUAGAUAUCCCAUUGCAUAAGCAAGUAAGACCCCUUGAGGACUACGAGGUUGAUAGGCUGCGUGUGUAAGUGUCGUGAGGCAUUUAGCUUGGCAGUACUAAUAGGUCGAGGGCUUGACCA
rnacentral:rRNA from 1 species